GACGAACGCUGGCGGCGUGCCUAAUACAUGCAAGUCGAACGCAGUGGGGACGGGUGAGUAACACGUGGGUAACCUCCCAUCAGAGGGGAUAACACUUGGAAACAGGUGCUAAACCGAUACUGAUGGAUGGACCCGCGGUGCAUUAGCUAGUUGGUGAGGUAACGGCUCACCAAGGCCACGAUGCAUAGCCGACCUGAGAGGGGGAUCGGCCAACCUGGGACUGAGAAAGGGCCCAAAUUCCAACGGGGGGCAGAAGUAGGGAAUCUGCGGCAAUGGACGAAAGUCUGACCGGGCAUCGCCGCGUGAGUGAAGAGGGUUUUCGGAUCGUAAAACUCUGUUGUUAGAGAAGCGGUAUCUAACCAGAAAGCCACGGCUAACUACGUGCCAGCCGCCGCGGUAUAC
rnacentral:rRNA from 1 species